rnacentral:rRNA from 1 species
GAUGAACGCUGGCGGCGUGCCUAAUACAUGCAAGUCGAGCGAACGGACGAGAAGCUUGCUUCUCUGAUGUUAGCGGCGGACGGGUGAGUAACACGUGGAUAACCUACCUAUAAGACUGGGAUAACUUCGGGAAACCGGAGCUAAUACCGGAUGAUAUUUUGAACCGCAUGGUUCAAAAGUGAAAGACGGUCUUGCUGUCACUUAUAGAUGGAUCCGCGCUGCAUUAGCUAGUUGGUAAGGUAACGGCUUACCAAGGCAACGAUGCAUAGCCGACCUGAGAGGGGGAUCGGCCAAACUGGAACUGAGACACGGCCCAAAACCCUACGGGGGGCAGCAGGAGGGAAUUUUCCGCAAUGGGCGAAAGCCUGAGGGAGCAACCCCGCGUGAGUGAUGAAGGUCUUCGGAUCGUAAAACUCUGUUAUUAGGGAAAAACAUAUGUGUAAGUAACGGUGCACAUUUUGACGGUACCUAAUCAAAAAGCCACGGCUAACUACGU